GCCCGGUAACAGAGUGCUGAAAAAUCAAUGACAUCAGACCGACUGAAAAUCGCAGUGUCGGUGGUUCGAUUCCGCCCCUGGGCACCA
rnacentral:tRNA from 1 species